rnacentral:tRNA from 1 species
AGCGCAACUCCCUAUAGUAGCGCCCCGUUGCCCGCCUGGAAAGUGUGUAUACGGCAACGUAUCGGGGGUUCGAAUCCCCCCCUCACCGCCA